UCCUGAGCUGUCAACCUCUAUCUCUGAGCCCUGUGGCUCUGCAUCCUGUCUCUCUUCUCUACUGAUUCCUGGAAUACAUGGAACUCUCCCAAAGACAUUAUUCUGUAUUCGUCCUCACAACUCCACAUGUUGAAACUGCAGGAUAUAUUCCUAGAAGUGGGACCAAAGAGGAUGUAAGGUUUUUAAUCGUCACUAACAGUUGCUUAUCACAAAGGAUGUGCUAAUUUAAAAGGUGGAAAAAUAUCAAUCCGACCCUGCUCUGAAGUUUCAUGAUUCUAGGAUGGAAUAAACUGCAAGUCCUCAAGAGACUGUGAAGAAGAGAAAAUUAGCAAACGAAUUUGCUUGUGGGCAAAUAUGGAAAUAUGCUAGGGGAAAGACGAUGAUUCUGUUAAAGAUGAUCUCUGAGCUCCUGUUUAAAUACAGAAGAAAUAAACUGAGAAUUGUCUGUUGACUGUAGCCCCCAAAAUACCAGGGUCACUCUGAUCAAAGACUAGUUAAAUGCUGGCUCUUGACACAGGCACGUAGUGAGUAUUCAAGCCAGGGUGUCAUGUGACCAAAGAGACAUGGGCACCUAGGACUCUUUGCCAGACUCUGGUUCCAUUCCACGAGGAAAGUGGUCACCAAACCCAUGAAAGUCAGAGAAGGACAACUGAAAUGGCCAAACUUCCAGCACACAGGGCCACUAUGAGAAUACAGACUCGAAAGAUUGUUUCUGAUGGCAGAAUGAACAAUCUCAAUGGACCCAACUCAACCCAUGCAAUAGCGACAGGAGAUGAAAUGUCUAUGACGUCACCACGAAUUAGAGGAAAUCUUUGUGAAGAGUAAUCAAGAUAAUGUAAGAAAAUAAGCAGAAGUAUUCACUACCACCUAUCCCAGGCAAAACUCACACAAGAGAUUUUAUAUUCUGAAAAAUACUCCAAAACAGACUUAGAGUAGUUACUGUUGAUCUUUCUCAUGAGUUAGUAAGAAAAACAGAAUACCUUGGAUCAAACUUCUAAGCUUUAAGGUUGGUGUCAUUCAUAAUCCUGCUGAAAACAGAAUACUGGGGUGAAUGGAAAGAAUUUAACACUUACUCCACCCAGUUCCUGGAGGAGAUAUAAUGAUGAGUUAUGUCAUAAGAAACAUAGUGAGGAGGGGUGUUAGCCCUCUCAGUGUGGUUUAAGUCAUGACCCAGAAAAGGGUUCAAAAACCUAGGAGGAAAGGGGAAAGAAAGGUUGAACAGAACCAAGAACUAGGAUCAUGCUACAAAUCAGGAUAGUGCCCAGAGCUGUCACAGGGUAAAAAGCAAAGAGGAAAGGGAGACAGAAUCUCAUGAUGAUAGCAGAGGGAAACAUCUGGAAAAUCACCCUUGCGCUUUUAUCAGAUCCACAUAAUGCUGAGGAUCACUAGGGUGAGGAAUUGGAUCAAAGUUUCAAAUAGCUCUAAAAUUCUAAUAUUUCAGUGUUCACAUGAAUAAAAGCAAAAAAAGUUCUAUUCCUUUAGAUCAGGAAUUCACAAGUGUUCUCUGUAAUGGGGCAGAUAGGAAAUAUUUUAGGCUCUGUCAGCCAUACGGGCUUUAUUUUAUAUUCUUCUUUAUUUGGUCUGUUUGUUUUACAGCUCUUUAUAAGUGGAAAAACUAUUCUUACCUCCCAGGCUGUACAAAAACAGGCUGUGGGCCAGCUGGCCCCAUGGGCCAUAGUUUGCCAAUCUCUGCUUUAGAUGACAAGGGAAAGUCUACAGACUAAGGAUGCCAUGCAAAACAUAAAAAGCUUUAAUGAAUCCACACUCAAAUUUAAAAUCACUCUACAACGCACAACUGGGGAACCACUAUUUGUAAAUGUGUGCGAUAAGCUCUAAGUGGCUGCCUUGUAAAUCUCACACCAAAAAAGUAAUCUGAAACCACCCGCUUCUGACGCAGAAAUAGCUGCUAAGUAUUCGUGUGACCUUGAACUAACAUCUGUGUUGAAAGAAAACAAUGAGAAAACAUCACUGUGUUGAAAUACUGGCUAGAGUCCAGCAAACACAAACUCAACAGGUUCAUAAAUCAAGGGAUCCUCUGCAAGGAAAACAUAUGUCUAUUCUAAAUAUUUAUAAAUUCUGAAUUUCUCUAGAACCAGAAACGACAGCAUAAAAUAAACACAUCUAAGUACCACCCCUCCUUUAUAAAGCUAUCCCUUUACUUACAGCUAUCAGAGACAGCGAACUACCAGCAGUUGAACUAAGAAAAAGGACUUUCCCAGAAAAAAGAAAAAUGUUAAACUUUUUAAGAGUAAAAUAAACUUUUAUGCUCAUAAACGCUAAAAGGAAAAUUUCAGUAGAAAUACGCAAAAUACUUCAGCACAGUCUAUGAUUAGAACCAAUUUAAUUUCUAGUUUCUUCUUAAAUAACUUUAAUUACCAAUAAUACAUGAGGUUCAAGUAUGCAGGACUAUUAUCUGAAAUCACGGAAUAGAAAGGAAAAAAAAAACUUUUGAUUCACGGACUGAUGAAAGGAGCAAACUCAAGAAGUACUUAGUGUUUAAAUAUUUUACACUUACUUUAUCCUCUGAAAUUGCUGUACUUUACUAAGAAGUGGCGAUAUGCACUCUAUUUGAGUAACUGACUGAGAACACUGGAACAUGGGCUAUCACCACAAAAGAGGAAAGAGCAAGGUAAAUAUGAACGCUUAAGCAUCUCUUUUGGGAAAAUGUUGUAUUUUAUUCUGUGGAGUGCUGGUAAACAAAAAAAUGUAAAGCUACGUAAGAGUGAACCUCCAAUGGAAAUGGAAGCCUUAGAGACUCGAAGACUUCCUUGUUCCUCAGAGUGAGGCAUUUCAAUAUUCAUAGGCACCCUAAGCAGUAAAUUAUUUGUAGGAAAAAGAAAUUCACUCUAAUUUUAACAACACAGUUUUACUUCUUAUGUAAUUAUAUACUCUGAGAUUUUACCAGAGAAAAUAUUUUAGUUGCAUAAAUUUAGCAAAUUUUCAAUUGAGAACAACCAGCACCUAAAUGGCUUAUUUAACAACUGGAAAACAUCUCAACCAUCUACGGUGAUUUAGACUUUUACCAGACUAAACCAAACCAGUUGCUAUCGAGUCAAUUUCAACUCAUGGUGACUCCCCAUGUGGAGAGCAGGACUAUACUCCACAGGGUUUUCAUGACUGUGACUUUUUAGAAGCAGAUCCAUUGAUUGCCAGGCCUUUCUUCCAAGGUGCCUCUGGGUGGGUUCAAACCACCAGCCUCUCAGUUAAUAGUUAAGUGCUUUACCAUUUGCACCACCUUCAAAUAUAUCAGAAUAUGGCAAACUUUAUUUAUAUAAAUUGAAAGGCAACCUCAAAUGUAAGCCAUCUUGUGACUGUGGUGUUUUCUAUGGCUUCUACUAUAGUUACCCAAAAUCAAUCUAAAAAGACUACCCCAUGCAGUUUCUUUCCAUUACAGAAAAAUCCCCUCGCCUCAGAUUCCGUGUAGGGUGUUAGAGUUAUACUUUGAAUCAGUAUCACCAAAUAUUUCUCCUUUCUGCCAAAGGGGUCACUUCUUCCAGAAAUACAUCCUUCAAUAUUACUUCCUGUAGAAAAGGAGGCAUCAGGAUUGGAGGAAGACUCAUUAACAACCUGCAAUAUGCAGAUGACAAAGCCUUGCUUGAUGGAAGUGAAGAGGACUUGAAGCACUUACUGAUGAA